CACUUCCUUUUCUCGUUCGCUGGCACGGAGGGAGCCGACAAGAUGAAUGACACAGUGACCAUAAGAACUAGGAAGUUCAUGACAAACAGACUGCUUCAGCGCAAGCAGAUGGUGAUUGAUGUUCUUCAUCCUGGGAAGGCCACAGUCCCCAAAACAGAAAUCAGGGAAAAGCUGGCGAAAAUGUACAAGACAACCCCUGAUGUAAUAUUCGUAUUUGGCUUCAGAACUCACUUUGGUGGUGGCAAGACAACAGGCUUUGGCAUGAUCUACGAUUCCUUGGACUAUGCAAAGAAAAAUGAACCAAAACACAGACUUGCCAGACAUGGUUUGUAUGAGAAGAAGAAGACUUCUAGGAAGCAGCGGAAGGAACGUAAGAACAGAAUGAAGAAAGUCAGGGGUACAGCUAAGGCAAAUGUUGGUGCUGGCAAGAAGAAGAAAUGAAGUAUCUAGCAGUAACUGGAUGUACUUCAGGUGUGGAAAAUGGAUAACAGGCUACUUAAUUCCAUCAAGAAGUAUGGGAAGAACUGCUCUGGAAAGAAGCUGUUCAUCUGGCUUUAACAUUAAAUAAACUAUGUCAGUCAAA